rnacentral:rRNA from 1 species
UACAGAGGGGGCAAGCGUUGUUCGGAAUUACUGGGCGUAAAGGGCGCGUAGGCGGCCUGUUAAGUCGAACGUGAAAUCCCCGGGCUCAACCCGGGAACUGCGUCCGAUACUGGCAGGCUUGAAUUCGGGAGAGGGAUGCGGAAUUCCAGGUGUAGCGGUGAAAUGCGUAGAUAUCUGGAGGAACACCGGUGGCGAAGGCGGCAUCCUGGACCGAGAUUGACGCUGAGGCGCGAAAGCGUGGGGAUCAAACAGG